GUUGUGGCUCAGUGCUUAGGGCGUCUGCUUUGGGUUUUGCAUGCAGACAGCUGCAGGUUCAAACCUUGGCAUCUCCA